rnacentral:rRNA from 1 species
AACGAACGCUGGCGGCAGGCCUAACACAUGCAAGUCGAGCGAGGGAGCAAUCUCUAGCGGCGGACGGGUGAGUAACGCGUGGGAACGUGCCCCUUGGUACGGAAUAGCCCCGGGAAACUGGGAGUAAUACCGUAUAAGCUCUACGGAGGAAAGAUUUAUCGCCAAGGGAUCGGCCCGCGUUGGAUUAGGUAGUUGGUGGGGUAAUGGCCUACCAAGCCGACGAUCCAUAGCUGGUUUGAGAGGAUGAUCAGCCACACUGGGACUGAGACACGGCCCAGACUCCUACGGGAGGCAGCAGUGGGGAAUCUUAGACAAUGGACGCAAGUCUGAUCCAGCCAUUCCGCGUGCAGGAUGAAGGCCCUCGGGUUGUAAACUGCUUUUGUACGGAACGAAAAGGUCUCUCUUAAUACGGGGGGCUCAUGACGGUACCGUAAGAAUAAGCACCGGCUAACUACGUG